GUUGUGCGACACACGAUUCUAUGGACAGACGAUUCGAUGGUGAAUUCACGGUGUUCAACAGAGACAGAGACAAAGAUACACAUACAAAACUGUGCACAUUUGUCAGUGAACUGUUCCUUACGCUGAACUGAUGUUGUCCAAAGAAUCGCAAGAGAAACAAAUUAACAUUCUUUCGAGUCCACAGUCUAUUUAUAACAAUCGGAAAAGAAACAAAAAAUGCCUGGCUUUGUUGUAAUUUGUCGCUAGACGCUACUAAUCGCAGUUACAAGAUACAAAAAGUACGUUUUGUUAGGCAUUGUGUGACAAUUUUUCCCCAUUAUUCAUAUUUAAAUAGCUUUCGAUGCAUCGGAUGUUACAAUCUAAUGAGUUCUGUUUAUCUUUCAGGUAAUCAGGCUGCAUGCCAAAAAAGCGACGUGUUUUAUGUGUGAUCUGAUCGAACAAUGAGUGCGGAGAUGUUCCUUGCAUUGUAUGUUCUUAAUCUAAUCUGUAUCUGUGUUACCUCAUUCUAUCACGUUCCUCACGCAUGGAGUUAGCAAUACAUUUAGAAAUGUUAAAUGUCACAUUCGUAAAUCGCUUUUUUGUUGUCUAACUUUUGCCUUUCAUUUCUUCUUCGCAAUCAAGUAAAGGGAUACGUCUAAACGAAUUUCUUCAAUCGUAUUUUACUAGGAGCUGAAUCACGAGUCUAAACUGAAAAAGCAAUUCGCGUGUAAUUUCGUUUUUGCAGUUACGAGAUUCACCCGCGUAUAUACUAUAAACUACACAAAAAUUUCAUAUUAUACAACGUGCAUAAAA